rnacentral:rRNA from 1 species
GACGAACGCUGGCGGCGUGCCUAACACAUGCAAGUCGAACGGAAACGCCUUACUUUUGUGGGGUGCUCGAGGGGCGAACGGGUGAGUAACACGUGAGUAUCGGGCUCUACUUUUUGGGAUAGCAUCACGAAACUGGGGUUAAUACAGGACAGCAGCUCAUGCAGCAUGGUAAGCGGGGGAUAGUUGCGGCGGUUGGGGAUGGACGCGCGGCUGAUCAGCUUGUUGGUGGGGUGGUGGCUUACCAAGGCAUGGACGGGUCGCCGGCCUGAGAGGGUGACCGGGCACAUUGGGACUGAGGUACGGCGCAGACUCGAACGGGAGGCAGCGGUGGGAAAUAUUGCCCAGUGGGCGGAAGCGUGAUGCAGCGACGCUGCGUGCGGGAUGACGGUCUGUGGGUAGUAAACCGCUGUAGCUUGUGACGAAGCGGGAGUGACGGUAAUGAGUGAAGAAGCACCGGCUAACUACGUG